ensembl:lncRNA
AGGAUUAAAUCCUUAAUUUAUAGGAUCUGACACCGUCUUCAGUUUGAAUAUAUGAAGUUGGAUCAGUCAAUGUCUGAGAGCCAAAUUUGGCUUCAGCAGUACAUGAACCACGAACUUCCAGAUGUUCAGGCUGGUUUAGAAAAGGCAGAGGAACCACAGAUCAAAUUGCCAACAUCCGCUGGAUCAUGAAAAAAGCAAGAGAGUUCCAGAAAAACAUCUAUUUCUUCUUUGUUGACUAUGCCAAAGCCUUUGACUCUGUGGAUCACAGUAAACUGUGGAAAAUUCUGAAAGAGAUGGGAAUAUCAGACCACAUUACCUGCCUCUUGAGAAACCUAUAUGC